UUCUCUCUUUUUCUAUGAUGAUUGUCAUGCUAUGAAGCUUUUCUUGUAUAAAGCUCAAUUUCUCUAUGACCACGGAAGUAAACAUCCUGAUGCAUUCUUACCAUGUGAAUGUUGAGAGCGGGUUCAUUUUUGAAAUCUUCUUUCUGACAGACAUAUUCUACAGGAUCAGCUGAGAUGUUAUUUCACUGGAUUAUUUAAUGGAUUGGCUUAUUAGGCAUAUAGUUGGAUAUAUCUGUCAUUAACAUGGAAUGUAUGACUUCAUCUUUAUACAGUCGGGUCCGGGUUCGGCGGCCAUGGCGAAUCUCGGCAAGAUUUUACCCCAGUGUAAAAGGCUUGUAAUCCACCGUUCCUCAACCUGGAAGAUAUGUUUUGUUCCUAACCAUCUAUAAUCCAUUCUCUAUGAAGUGAAGCCUGGCUGCUGGUCUUCCUUUGAAAAUAAACAGCUUGUCAAUCAACAUAGAAACACACAAACUUGAAGGGAAAGAAUACUAUAAUGUGGCUCAUCAGGAUGACCAAAAAAGAAAUCUUAAUGGCCCUCUUAACUAUGUAUAAAGAUUGUAACUUUAUAACUGAUGUAAGAUGAUCUGAUUGUGUGGAAAUAAAAUUUCCUAGUGUUUCUACUACCCAAGAUCUUCUUAUGAGUGUAUAGGACUGCUGUAAACCUUCUCCUGUUUAUAAAAAUAUUCCAUGGGGCAUGACACUUUAUUCAUAAAAGGAUUCUCUUGUGAGGGCUUAUGGAAAUGAUCUAUGUCUACUCUUAGAAUGGUGACAGACUUUCAGAUUAUGCAAAGAUUAACAGAAUAUCCUCUCUUGGAACACUGAAACAAGAAAACCAAACUUAAGAGGAUGGAGGAUUUAAGAAGAACAUAGAUAAAUAUGAUUUCCAACCAAUUUAACCAGUACGGUCAUAGACUGUGGUUUACAGGAUGACAAAGAAAGGACCCAGGAUUGUAUCUUUCACUGUCAGACACUGACUAUGGAUAAGAUGUAGCCAUUUAUCAGACUGAGAUCUAGUCAAAUCAAGUAUUGAAAAUAUGAUUUUCUGAUAGCAUGAGCUCUUUAAAAACUAAUUCUCACUGACCUCAAAGUAUCUGAAUGUGACUUUUAUUUUUACCAAUUCAUAUUGAAGACUGUUGUUAUGUAUGGGAAUUAUACACAUUUAAAACUUUUAUUUUUCAUCUAAUUUUUACAACCCCCUAGAAAUUACAUAGAUAUCUAGAUACUGGAUUUGAUGUAAUUAUUUAACUUUCCUGGAAUUGUAAAUAUAUUUUGUUUGUGUAUGUAUCAUGUUUAAUUUUGAAUUUAAAUUGGGUCUCAAUAAGACCCCCAAUAAAGAUGCAAGUGUCCCAUAA